GAUGAACGCUGGCGGCGUGCCUAAUACAUGCAAGUCGAGCGAACAGACGAGGAGCUUGCUCCUCUGACGUUAGCGGCGGACGGGUGAGUAACACGUGGAUAACCUACCUAUAAGACUGGGAUAACUUCGGGAAACCGGAGCUAAUACCGGAUAAUAUAUUGAACCGCAUGGUUCAAUAGUGAAAGACGGUUUUGCUGUCACUUAUAGAUGGAUCCGCGCCGCAUUAGCUAGUUGGUAAGGUAACGGCUUACCAAGGCAACGAAGCGUAGCCGACCUGAGAGGGUGAACGGCCACAGUGGGACUGAGAUACGGCACAGACGCAUACGGGAGGCAGCAGUGGGGAAUAGUGCACAAUGGGCGGAAGCCUGAUGCAGCAACGCUGCGUGCGGGAGGACGGCCUUCGGGUUGUAAACAGCUUUCGCCUGUGACGAAGCGGGAGUGACGGUAAUGGGUAAAGAAGCACCGGCUAACUACGUG
rnacentral:rRNA from 1 species